rnacentral:lncRNA from 1 species
AAACAGAAGACGCGGAAUCACCUGUACUGCUCUGCACCCCGGGACUUACAGACUCUGUCUUAGGUUUUUAUAGUAGAAAUGCCACUCUUCAUAAUAAGCAUUAAAGUAAACUUGAGAUCACAUUUUAAUGUAGAAAUUCUGAUGUCAAAAAUGGAAGGUUAGUGUUCUCUGGCCAGAUAAUUUUAAGACCAGCAGAACCCAUUAAAAAUUAUGGCCAAGCCAUUAAAAUUAUGUCUCAUAUCCCAUGUGCUAAAAACGAUGUAAAUCUUGGUACUUCACAAUUAUUCACUGGAGAGUCUCCAUUUCAUUAUUGUCAUUUUUAAAGAAACCACCUCUUCUUUCUUUCACCCCAAGAAAAAUCUGAUCGCCAACUGGAACCUGUGUGGAAGGUUCUGAUGUCCUAGCAACUAAUUGGAUCCUCUUAAAGUUUGUAUUUUAUGUCUUACCUAUUUAGAAAUCUGAAAAGCUUCUCUUCAAAAAGCAGGCAUCUCAGAUCUUAAUUUUUAAGUGUUAAGUAUUGCUGCAGUCAAGGUUAAAUGAAUUGAUGGUUUGGUGCUAGAUUCAAUACAAUUCUUGGAGAAGAUUUUCUUUUGAGCUUAAGUGUAAUUCACACACUAAUAUUUUAAAGCUCUACUUAAUGUCUUACAUAUCAUAUAUGAAACAAAGCAUGUAUUUAGGUCAAGUUAUAUUUUAAGUGACCUCUAGGAAUAGCCUAUAUGUUAACUAUAAAGGUCUAUAAUGACAUUUACUAAAGAUGGGAUUAAUUUCAUGGGUUCUACUA